rnacentral:rRNA from 1 species
UGGGGAAUAUUGCACAAUGGGCGAAAGCCUGAUGCAGCAACGCCGCGUGCGGGAAGAAGGCCCUAGGGUUGUAAACCGCUUUCAGCAGGGAAGAGAAUGACGGUACCUGCAGAAGAAGGUGCGGCCAACUACGUGCCAGCAGCCGCGGUGACACGUAGGCACCAAGCGUUGUCCGGAUUUAUUGGGCGUAAAGAGCUCGUAGGCGGUUCAGUAAGUCGGGUGUGAAAACUCUGGGCUCAACCCAGAGACGCCACCCGAUACUGCUGUGACUUGAGUACGUAGGGGAGUGGGGAAUUCCUGGUGUAGCGGUGAAAUGCGCAGAUAUCAGGAGGAACACCAGUGGCGAAGGCGCCACUCUGGGCCGUAACUGACGCUGAGGAGCGAAAGCGUGGGGAGCAAACAGGAUUAGAUACCCACGUAGUCCCUGAGCGGGCUGGCAAGGCGCAU